rnacentral:rRNA from 1 species
UACGAGGGGGGCAGCGUGUUCGGAUUGAUUGGUGCGUAAAGGGUGCGUAGGCGGUCUGAUAAGUCAUCUGUGAAAUCUAUGGGCUCAACCCAUAGUCUGCAGGCGAAACUGUCGGGCUUGAGUAUGGGAGAGGUGAGUGGAAUUCCUGGUGUAGCGGUGGAAUGCGCAGAUAUCAGGAGGAACACCAAUGGCGAAGGCAGAUCUCUGGGCCGUAACUGACGCUGAGGAGCGAAAGCAUGGGGAGCGAACAGG